rnacentral:rRNA from 1 species
AUUGAACGCUGGCGGAAUGCUUUACACAUGCGAGUCGAACGGCAGCACGGACUUCGGUCUGGUGGCGAGUGGCGAACGGGUGAGUAAUGUAUCGGAACGUGCCCAGUCGUGGGGGAUAACGUAGUGAAAAUUACGCUAAUACCGCAUACGAUCUAUGGAUGAAAGCGGGGGAUCGCAAGACCUCGCGCGAUUGGAGCGGCCGAUAUCAGAUUAGGUAGUUGGUGGGGUAAAGGCCCACCAAGCCAACGAUCUGUAGCUGGUCUGAGAGGACGAUCAGCCACACUGGAACUGAGACACGGUCCAGACUCCUACGGGUGGCAGCAGUGGGGAAUUUUGGACAAUGGGCGAAAGCCUGAUCCAGCCAUUCCGCGUGCAGGAUGAAGGCCCUCGGGUUGUAAACUGCUUUUGUACAGAACGAAAAGGUUUCUACUAAUACUAGGAGCUCAUGACGGUACUGUAAGAAUAAGCACCGGCUAACUACGUGCCAGCCGCCGCCGUAA